CGUUGCCUCGGCGGAUCAGCCCGCGCCCCGUAAAAAGGGACGGCCCGCCCGAGGACCCUAAACUCUGUUUUUAGUGGAACUUCUGAGUAAAACAAACAAAUAAAUCAAAACUUUCAACAACGGAUCUCUUGGUUCUGGCAUCGAUGAAGAACGCAGCAAAAUGCGAUAAGUAAUGUGAAUUGCAGAAUUCAGUGAAUCAUCGAAUCUUUGAACGCACAUUGCGCCCGCCAGUAUUCUGGCGGGCAUGCCUGUUCGAGCGUCAUUUCAACCCUCAAGCUCAGCUUGGUGUUGGGACUCGCGGUAACCCGCGUUCCCCAAAUCGAUUGGCGGUCACGUCGAGCUUCCAUAGCGUAGUAAUCAUACACCUCGUUACUGGUAAUCGUCGCGGCCACGCCGUAAAACCCCAACUUCUGAAUGUUGACCUCGGAUCAGGUAGGAAUACCCGCUGAAC
rnacentral:rRNA from 1 species